UAUUUGUGUGCACCCAUUAUAGUUGGGAUUUUUUAGAUCAGCAGUUAUUGCUAUACAGCCGUAUUAAUAAAUCUUCUACUGGCCUACUAAGUCCCAACAUAAUGAGAGUAAAAACCACUGGCUUAACAAUAAGACUAUGUUAAAAUGAGUGAAGUGCAAUUAGAUAUAUUUAUGUAUAGAGCGCGUUCUUGCUCCCAACAUUUACCGAGUCCAUGUAGCCAUGUCUGUCUAUUAGCAGCAGAAAUAACAGGAGGAGCACCCAAAAACCCAAGGAGAGAUACUCCGGCAAAAUGGAAGCACUAAGGCCAAGCCAUUUGCCAAACAGAGCUGCUGCAAUUUUUAAGGGUUUCCAAAGAGUAAAGUUUAUUCAAAAUUUUCAUUUGCAGUUUCUUGAGUCGACACUGACUUAACGCGGGCUUGCCUUCUGGGAAUGUACUUUUUAAAAAGAUAGACCCGGCUCUACCGUUCUAUUGUGCGGGGCUCCAGCUGUUUUUAUCUCUCGUUGUGCGCAUGUGGUAGAUUUUUGUUGCAGUCCUUCUUAGUUCUAUGUAUAUUUUUUGUCUCUCUCUUUUUCAUUUCAUUUUAUAUUAAACUCUUCGGCCGUUCAACAGUUAUAAUUUUGCCCUUGUUUGGUUUAAUUCUAUUCAUGAAAUUUGUGCUAUUAAUAAAUAAUAAAUCAAAUAUUAGUAAAAGUUCA